GACGGGGGGGGGCAAGUGUUCUUCAGAAUGACUGGGCGUAAAGGGCACGUAGGCGGUGAAUCGGGUUGAAAGUGAAAGUCGCCAAAAAGUGGCGGAAUGCUCUCGAAACCAAUUCACUUGAGUGAGACAGAGGAGAGUGGAAAUUUCGUGUGUAGGGGUGAAAUCCGUAGAUCUACGAAAGGAACGCCAAAAGCGAAAGGCAGCUCU
rnacentral:rRNA from 1 species